rnacentral:rRNA from 1 species
AACGAACGCUGGCGGCGUGUCUUAAGCAUGCAAGUCGAGCGGCAAGGGUAGCAAUACCCCUAGAGCGGCGGACUGGUGAGUAACACGUGGGUGAUCUACCUCGGGGUUGGGGAUAGCCAUUAGAAAUAGUGGGUAAUACCGAAUACGAUCCGUUGACUACGGUCAGCGGAGGAAAGGCGCUACGGCGCCGCCCUGAGAUGAGCCCGCGCCCCAUUAGCUAGUUGGUGAGGUAACGGCCCACCAAGGCUAUGAUGGGUAGGCGGCCUGAGAGGGUGUACGCCCACAUUGGGACUGAGAUACGGCCCAAACUCCUACGGGAGGCAGCAGCUAAGAAUAUUCCGCAAUGGACGAAAGUCUGACGGAGCGACGCCGCGUGGAUGAUGAAGGCCGGAAGGUUGUAAAAUCCUUUUGUCGGGGAAGAAUAAAGCGUGGGAGGGAAUGCCCGCGCGAUGACAUGAACCGGCGAAUAAGCCCCGGCUAACUACGUGCCAGCAGCCGCGGUAAAGUAUCGU